CUUUGGAAGCUCAAAGCCGCACUGGAAACACAGUCUUUCAGGAUGUCUGAAAGGGGCAAGUCUGUUUGUGUGGGAUAUACAGGGAGUCCACGGAGCCUCCCCUGCAAGCAUCAGUACAGAAGUCGAUGAUAAUCUGGAUGCAAGCCCAGGAGUGUGGAGUCCACUGACUCAGAAGACCUGCAUCUAAGGAAUUGGCUGUUCUUAUCCUUAAGAAUGAUGACUGUGUUUCCAAUUCCAGUAGACCCUUUGAUGCGUUCUGAAUAAAUAUUCCUUUUGGAAUUGAACUUCUAGAGCCCUUAA
rnacentral:lncRNA from 1 species